GUACUGGCUUCUGCUGUACAGAUACUAAAAUUGGAAUGAAACAAAGAUUAACCUGACCCCUGUGCCAGGAUGACAUACAAAUUCGUGAAGCCUUCCAUAUUCUG